GGUACAAGUGAUGAUUUCAAGCGACCAAAGCCUGAGAGUUUGUGAUUAGAACUUCUUUGGUAACUGAUGUACC
ensembl:snoRNA small nucleolar RNA, C/D box 4A